rnacentral:rRNA from 1 species
AGGUGGUAGGCUGAAAUCUUAGGUAAAUCCGGGGUUUCAAGGCCGAGAGCUGAUGACGAGUCGUCUUUUAGAUGACGAAGUGGUUGAUGCCAUGCUUCCAAGAAAAGCUUCUAAGCUUCAGGUAACCAGGAACCGUACCCCAAACCGACACAGGUGGUCGGGUAGAGGAUACCAAGCGCUUGAGAGAACUCGGGUGAAGGAACUAGGCAAAUGGCACCGUAACUUCGGGAGAAGGUGCGCCGGCUAGGGUGAAGGAUUUACUCCGUAAGCUCUGGCUGGUCGAAGAUACCAGGCCGCUGCGACUGUUUAUUAAAACACAGCACUCUGCAAACACGAAAGUGGACGUAUAGGUGUGACGCCUCCCCGGUGCCGGAAGGUUAAUUGAUGGGGUUAGCGCAAGCGAAGCUCUUGAUCGAAGCCCCGGUAAACGGCGGCCGUAACGAUAACGGUCCUAAGGUAGCGAAAUUCCUUGUCGGGUAAGUUCCGACCUGCACGAAUGGCGUAACGAUGGCGGCGCUGUCUCCACCGAGACUCAGUGAAAUUGAAAUCGCUGUGAAGAUGCAGUGUAUCCGCGGCUAGACGGAAAGACCCCGUGAACCUUUACUGUAGCUUUGCACUGGACUUUGAGCCUGCUGUGUAGGAUAGGUGGGAGGCUUUGAAGCGUGGACGCCAGUUCGCGUGGAGCCAUCCUUGAAAUACCACCCUGGCAUGCUUGAGGUUCUAACUCUGGUCCGUAAUCCGGAUCGAGGACAGUGUAUGGUGGGCAGUUUGACUGGGGCGGUCUCCUCUAAAGAGUAACGGAGGAGUACGAAGGUGCGCUCAGACCGGUCGGAAAUCGGUCGCAGAGUAUAAAGGCAAAAGCGCGCUUGACUGCGAGACAGACACGUCGAGCAGGUACGAAAGUAGGUCUUAGUGAUCCGGUGGUUCUGUAUGGAAGGGCCAUCGCUCAACGGAUAAAAGGUACUCCGGGGAUAACAGGCUGAUACCGCCCAAGAGUUCAUAUCGACGGCGGUGUUUGGCACCUCGAUGUCGGCUCAUCACAUCCUGGGGCUGAAGCCGGUCCCAAGGUAUGGCUGUUCGCCAUUUAAAGUGGUACGCGAGCUGGGUUUAGAACGUCGUGAGACAGUUCGGUCCCUAUCUGCCGUGGACGUUUGAGAUUUGAGAGGGCUGCUCCUAGUACGAGAGGACCGGAGUGGACGAACCUCUGGUGUUCCGGUUGUCACGCCAGUGGCAUUGCCGGGUAGCUAUGUUCGGAAAAAGAUAACCGCUGAAAGCAUCUAAGCGGGAAACUUGCCUCAAGAUGAGAUCUCACUGGGAACUUGAUUCCCCUGAAGGCCGUCGAAGACUACGACGUUGAUAGGCUGGNGUGUAAGCGUUGUGAGGCGUUGAGCUAACCAGUACCAAUUGCCCGUGAGG